rnacentral:rRNA from 1 species
UACGAAGGGGGCUAGCGUUGCUCGGAAUCACUGGGCGUAAAGCGCACGUAGGCGGCUUUCUAAGUCAGGUGUGAAAUCCUGGAGCUCAACUCCAGAACUGCCUUUGAUACUGGAGAGCUUGAGUCCGGAAGAGGUGAGUGGAACUCCGAGUGUAGAGGUGAAAUUCGUAGAUAUUCGGAAGAACCCCAGUGGCGAAGGCGGCUCACUGGUCCGGUACUGACGCUGAGGUGCGAAAGCGUGGGGAGCAAACAGG